ensembl:lncRNA
CUGAACUCGUCCAGCAGACCCGGACAUGCUCAACCAUUGCAUCGGGCUGCUGUGUGCUCACUUCUUUUCGGUCAGCGGACACAGGACCGGAGUCCUGCAGAACCUCACGACUGAGGAGUUUGAGAACCUCGAGAAGGCUGACUCUUUCUGAUCAAUGUGAAGCAGCACAAACCUGCCUCUGCUUUUGGACUCGCUAAGCUAGCCGUCACCAAGCUGGAGCUGAAGUGGCUGAAAGCUUUCUGCCACCUGAGGAAGCAUAUGCCGGGAUAUGAGACUUCUGUGGGGUGGCUUUUCUUUUCUGGCACACAGGCCAGGAUUUCUGCGCAUGUCAAGCUUGCCCUGCGGGCACUCGUGGGAAGGGACAUCACUGUGUCGGACAUCCCCACAGCUCUAGCAACCUACUGCGAACGCAAAAGACGAACAACGCAUGCUCGUGACCAAGACGAUGUGCUACAGCAAUUAGCUGAGUCGUGGAGCUGUCGGUCAGCGAGGCGCACUCCGCCCAGUCUGCGCUAGAGUCCGCUGCGGGCAUAGGUGCUACAUAGGCCGGUUGUUUUUGGCUAAUGGCCCUGUGUGUGUGUGUGUGUGUGUGUGUGUGUGUGUGUGUGUGUGUGUGUGUGUGUGUGUGUAAAUAUUUCAUUAAAAUGUUUGAACUGAA